rnacentral:rRNA from 1 species
GCAGGGAAUCUUGCGCAAUGGGCGAAAGCCUGACGCAGCAACGCCGCGUGGGGGAUGAAGGCCUUCGGGUUGUAAACCCCUUUCAGGAGGGAAGAAAUUGACGGUACCUCCAAAAGAAGCACCGGCCAACUACGUGCCAGCAGCCGCGGUAAUACGUAGGGUGCGAGCGUUAUCCGGAAUCAUUGGGCGUAAAGAGCUCGUAGGCGGUUCAGUAAGUCGGCUGUGAAAUUUCGAGGCUCAACCUCGAAACUGCAGUCGAAACUGCUGUGACUCGAGUCCGGUAGAGGAGAAUGGAAUUCCCGGUGUAGCGGUGAAAUGCGCAGAUAUCGGGAGGAACACCAGUAGCGAAGGCGGUUCUCUGGGCCGGCACUGACGCUGAGGAGCGAAAGCGUGGGUAGCAAACAGG